rnacentral:misc_RNA from 1 species
UACGAAGGGGGCGAGCGUUGUUCGGAAUUACUGGGCGUAAAGGGCGCGCAGGCGGCUCUGAAAGUCAGAUGUGAAAGCCCCGGGCUUAACCUGGGAAUUGCAUUUGAUACUCCGGAGCUUGAGUACGGGAGAGGAGAGUGGAAUUCCCAGUGUAGAGGUGAAAUUCGUAGAUAUUGGGAAGAACACCGGUGGCGAAGGCGGCUCUCUGGACCGUAACUGACGCUGAGGCGCGAAAGCGUGGGGAGCAAACAGG